AGCAGGAACAGAGAUCUAGGGCAGAAAACAACACAACAGGCACGGGUUUGCGAUUAGACCAUCUGGAUUAAACACUGAGGGGAGAGCAAAGAAACGGCAGCAUGGCCAGUCUCAGAGAAGCCACUGAUGUAUGAGGAGAUGCUGUGCCCAGUAUAGUUGGCUUGGCUGACUAGGGGCAGUGAAGGAAUGACAAGAACCCACCCACUAAAGAAAGAGCAGUCGCAGCAGAUGGACACUGAAAAGCUGGGGUCAAGUGGCCUGUGCACUCUCAGAUGGAGUCAACCCAACUACAGAUGCAACUGGAACUCAGAGUGUUCAUUAUGAUUGCUUCUGGCUGCUGAUAUGCCUUUCCUGCCACUAUUACACAGCCCAAUGACUCCUGAGCAUCAGACCACCUGAUUGAGUAAAUUUCCUGAAGAUCAACAUGAAGAUAAACUUUCAUGAAUUAAUGUUGUUUAGAUGAAUUGAUGACUUCCUGAUUUGAUUCAUACGAUUUUGGGGAAAAAGUUUAAGAAGAUGGUCUUAGUUGUUUUGUCAAAAAGAUGUAAUAAAGUCAGAAUCAAGAAUAGAAUGUGCCCCUUCCUCAUAGAAUAGUAAAUAAAGGCUGCAUAAUAAGGAACACAGUGAGCUUUCAUAAAGUGUACUAAGAAGAGAAACAGACUUGGGACAUAUUUGUGAUCAAGGAAAAACAUUCAUUCUAGGUCAGGUCAAAGACAAAGCCACAGGUGUGCAACUGUUGCCCUGAACUUAUAAUGAGCAUAUAGAAUGAAACACUGUUUUGAACUUAAUAUCAGGACAUCCUUCUGUAACUCCCUUUUGUAAUACUUUAUCUAAGAGGUAAUUUUUGUCUAGAAGAUAUAAAAUGCCAGAAAAAAAAAAGAAAUAAAAUAUGGCUUUUGUA